rnacentral:rRNA from 1 species
UACGAAGGGGGCUAGCGUUGCUCGGAAUCACUGGGCGUAAAGCGCACGUAGGCGGACUCUUAAGUCAGGGGUGAAAUCCUGGAGCUCAACUCCAGAACUGCCUUUGAUACUGAGGAGCUUGAGUCCGGGAGAGGUGAGUGGAACUGCGAGUGUAGAGGUGAAAUUCGUAGAUAUUCGCAAGAACACCAGUGGCGAAGGCGGCUCACUGGCCCGGUACUGACGCUGAGGUGCGAAAGCGUGGGGAGCAAACAGG